rnacentral:rRNA from 1 species
UACGUAGGGUGCGAGCGUUGUCCGGAAUUAUUGGGCGUAAAGAGCUUGUAGGCGGUUUGUCGCGUCUGCUGUGAAAAUCCGGGGCUCAACCCCCAGCCUGCAGUGGGUACGGGCAGACUAGAGUGCGGUAGGGGAGAUUGGAAUUCCUGGUGUAGCGGUGGAAUGCGCAGAUAUCAGGAGGAACACCGAUGGCGAAGGCAGAUCUCUGGGCCGUAACUGACGCUGAGGAGCGAAAGCAUGGGGAGCGAACAGG